UGGGUGGGCAUAGAGUCCCAUUACAUAGCAGAGGCUGCCUUGGAACUCACUCUGUAGCAUAAUUCCUGAGCCGUCAUGCCUACCUAGCUCAUAUAACCCUUUUAACAUAGGGGCUGAAGCAAGCCCGAAUUCAAAGGAAAUGCUAUUAUUACCCUCAUCAGAGUCAAGAAACGGUUACCUGUGACAUGUUCCUCUUGGGGAAGACUAGGCUCCCCUAGGACCAGAUAGGUGGGGGACUAGGUAUACAUGACCAGUGGCCAACUCCUCCCAAAACUCUGACCUCUUUGACUUCAGCAGACUCUGAACAGAUCUUGAAAGACAUCAAUUCGCUUGCCUCCUACUUGAACCCGGUGACUCUGGCCACCUGGGACAGAGCUGAGAUUUCUCUUCACAGGGAAUGAUGGCAGUUGAAUAUGGAGUGAUAUCACCCAGGCUACACGGGGAGGGGUUGUUCCAUCUUUUAAGAAAGACUCCGCCCCAGGGCUGUCUCUCCCCAAUAUUCCCUGGCAUCUCCCCUACUCCAUUUUUUUUUUUUUUUGGACCCAGGGUAGAAAGCCAGCUGAUAUCAACCUCCACGGAUGGCCUUAGCCUAUCUCAGGCUCUAUUUCUGUACCUUUUAAGAAAGGGGCUCGUGAAGCCCAGGCUAGCCUCGGAACUCCCUAUACAGCUAAGCAUGACCUCAAAUUCCUGACUUCUUUGCUCCCAUCUCCUGAGAGCCGGGACCACAGGUGUGAGCCACUGCCUCUGGUUUAUGUGGUGCUAGGGAUGGAAUACGGAACUCCGAGCACGCUAGAGGAGUACUGUAUUAGCCAAGCCAAAUCUUCUUGUAGAUCUCACUCUAUAGCUUAGGCUGCCCCUCCAACUUGAUAGCAUGGUCCAUCAGGUGUGGCUUUUCAUGCCUGGCUUCAGCCUAUUUGUAAAGACGAACAGUUUCUUUAUGUUGAAGGAGUGUAACCAUCUGGGGAGGAGGGUGCACAGAUGUCAGGAGACACAUCUGGGGCGGGAGGGUCAGGUGACACUGCUCUUAACUACUGGCUUGCGGCCACUGCAGGGUCCUUCUGCUGCUACCCACAACCCUCAGUCUUGUCUGAGCCCAGGAACUCUUGUCCUACAGUGGGCUUCGAGCCCCAGCAGAGGCUCUUCCCUCCCAUUCAGCCUCGGACCACAGCCCUGUCCCGCCGCCCGCCCUGCAGCUCCAGUCCCCAGUUCAAGUUCAGGUUCCCACGACAAUGAGGUCUCUUACGGAAACCAGACCCCAGCAGAUGGUUCACAGGCUCACACAUCUUUCCCCACAGCCGGAUGCACCUUCCGUCUGGGAGCAGUCUCCUUCCUCCCCCAUAACCUAAUGUGCCUGGUCAGGACACAUAUCAGAUGGCCAAAACGAUAACUUGAGGCUCAGUGUAGCCUCUGAUACCCGCCAUGCCCUGUUUGUCAGGAGAUGGGCACUUUCCCCAGCUCACUCCCUGGCCUGUAUUCCACCUUGGCAAUCCCUCGUACAGGCAUGGACUCGCACAUGCUCACACACACCUGGGCACCAACACACACAGUGACAUCCUACACCUGGGCCCCAGAUUUCUUCAGGAUUUUUUUUUUUUUUGAGAUAGCCUGAUGUAGCCCAAAUGGCCUCGAACUCACUACGCAGCCAACGAUGCCUUGAAUUCCUGAUCAUCCGAUGACCAUUACACAGGUAUGCGUCACCACGCCCACCUAGUUUGCUCAGAGGCUCAAGAAUGUUUAGCAUGCCCUCCAUCAACGGAGACAUCCUCCCUCAACUCUCUUAGUUGUUCUUGAGAUGGGGUCUGGUUGGCUUUAAACUUACAUGCUGGGGCUCACAGGUGUGAUCCCAUCAGACAACUUCACAGUUGCCUCCCUCCACCACCAUCUGUCUAGGAAUGGACUUGUGAACAGACCUUCAAACCUUUCCAGACACUCUUCUUUCAGGAACAUCCUUGGCCAGAAGCUCACAUUGACACCUUGCAACAUGAUCUGAAACACACACACACACACACACACACACACACACACACACACACACACGGAAUCCCACCAUCUCCAAGCAAAGACAAACCAAGAUUGUCUCUCCACAGGCUGGUAGGUACACAGGUGUGCACAGGUGUGCAAACUGCCACCACCACUGGGAAAGCACUCAGGUGACUCAGACGACCAGCCUGACUGGCGGAGUGUAGCUUUGACAGGACCCCUAACACGGAGCUGGCUCCCAAGAGGAGACAGUUCCCAGGACCCUCCCUGCCUUGAAGAGGGCGGCGGGUGGGGGGAAUCUGGAGGCGAAGGGCUCAUCGAUCUCUGGGAUUCCCCAUCAGUCUUGCCACCUGGUCGGCAGGGUCCCGAAGGUUGUGGAUAGCGUGGGACCAGCGAGGGGCAGCAUGGGACCGGCGAGGGGCCCCUUACCUCCAGGCUGCGCGGGAUGGAGGAGGUUGAGCAAGAGGAUCAGCAAGACGCCAGGCUGCGGGACUGCCGCUGUCAGACCCGCCAUCUCGGGGAGGACUGCCCCAGCCUGCUCUCUGCGCCUCGUUUUAUCCCCAAAGCGUAAUUGCUGCCUGAGGCUCCGUGGACCUGCGAAGGGUGCAUGGCUCCAGAUUCUCUGCACUGCUCACCCAUGCACGUUAACGCAGCACCUGCACUGAGAAGGCAAAGUGAGUCGCUACCAUGGCUGGCAGAUGGAAGGACCCACCAGUUUCGCUGUGUUGAACAGAGUACCAAUGAGAACUCAGGAAAUGCAGGUGGAGAAUGCCACAGUAUCACUGCCAGAAGCCACCGACUGUGGAGAGCUAUACUCCAGCCUCUUUUCCACAAUUUCUUAAAAACAAACAAACAACAACCAAACUUA
rnacentral:sRNA from 1 species